UUACCGAAUUGUCAACAAGAGUUGUUGCUGGUCCCUGUACGGGGGCAUGUGCACACUUUGUUUACACAUCCACUCACACCUGUGCACCCUCCGUAGUUCUAUGGCCUGGGUGGGCUCUGUCCUCCUGGCGUGGUUCUACGUCUUUACACACACACUACAAAAAAGUCUUAUGGAAUGUAUGUCGCGUUUAACGCAAUGAAAUACAACUUUCAGCAACGGAUCUCUUGGCUCUCGCAUCGAUGAAGAACGCAGCGAAAUGCGAUAAGUAAUGUGAAUUGCAGAAUUCAGUGAAUCAUCGAAUCUUUGAACGCACCUUGCGCCCUUUGGCUAUUCCGAAGGGCAUGCCUGUUUGAGUAUCAUGAACACCUCAACUCUCAUGGCUUGCCAUGAUGAGCUUGGACUUUGGGGGUCUUGUUGGCCUGUGAGCCAGCUCCUCUUAAAUGAAUUAGCUUGCCGGUGUUUGGUGGCGUCACGGGUGUGAUAACUAUCUACGCUUGUGGUUUCCCACCAGGUAACCUUCAGCAAUGGAGGUUCACCGGAGCUUAUAAAUGUCUCUCCUCGGUGAGGACACAUUUUGACCAUUUGAUCUCAAAUCAGGUAGGACUACCCGCUGAACUU
rnacentral:sRNA from 1 species